GGGGAUUUGACUCAGUGGUAGAGUGCUUACCUAGAAGGGACAAGGCCCUGGGCUCAAUCCUCAGCAUCCCCC
rnacentral:tRNA from 1 species